rnacentral:rRNA from 1 species
GACGGAGGGUGCUAGCGUUGUUCGGAAUUACUGGGCGUAAAGGGCGCGUAGGCGGCCUUGUGCGUCGGAUGUGAAAGCCCGGGGCUCAACCCCGGAACGGCAUCCGAUACGGCGAGGCUCGAGACCGGGAGAGGAGGGUGGAAUACCCAGUGUAGAGGUGAAAUUCGUAGAUAUCAGGAAGAACACCUAUGGCGAAGGCAGCUCUCUGGGACGGUACUGACGCUGAGACGCGAAAGCGUGGGGAGCGAACAGG